GCGGGGGCUGCGGAGUGCUCCCUCCAAGACCGGUUGCACCCCGCUUUCCUGGCCAGGACUCUGGGCGCGGUUGGAGGCAUCUGUCCACCCAUGUGGUUCCAGACACGUUCAUGUGGCCACCAUGACCCCGUCGGCAUCACAGGGGUAACCAAGGUCCACAGAACGAGGGGAAAGGGUCACUGUGGAUCAAGCCAGGCUCCUCUGAGCAGUCCAGGGUCUAUUUACAGAGAGCAGCAAGUUCCUGGGACAGAGGAGACAGAAGGGAAUUUCCAGGUUCUUCAGGACGUUCACAACCACACUGAGAAGCAUCUUUGCAGAUAAGUAUUUAAACUUACCAGCCCAUAGCCUACCAGCCUGCCCUCUUCUGGUCUGUGCAGGAAAGUGUAGUAUCCUAGAAUGCCAAAGUGGGAGGGGAAAUGGGUGAUGUAGCUCAUUCUCUUUUCUACCUCUAUGGAAGAAAGAAAGAGCCUGUCCCCAUUUUGUGGGGUCCCAGAAAGGGUGAUUUUCACACUUCACAUUUGGCGUUAGGGCUAGUAUUUCACAAACAUUACCGUCUGGAACUUUUGAAGGCUGAGUUAAAUGACUUCAUCUUGUGUACUUGUAGAACUGCUAUUAGAAGGAGGCUGGGGACUCCCUGAUGAUGUGAACCAGCCCUUCUCUUCUCAGUUUCAGCACUUUGUGAUCAUAUUUAUAAACCUUGGACAGGGCUCCUUGGCCUUAGAGUUAAGUGAAGAGUUAACACUGUGACUUUAGAUGCAUUUUUCUCAGUGUAAGUGUCUGAGCUCAUCUCCAGUUCUGGACUCGUGCCCCCACUCCCGGGUGCUGACAGCAAGCUCUGAAGAUAUGCUGAGAGAGCUCCCUGACUCUCCUGACUCAGGUCUGCCAGUUGAUGAAGACAGCACAGUUGUUACCAAAAACAAAACCUGGCAGAUGGUCCUAGGUCAGGAUUAGUGGUCAUUCUCUGGUCUUCUCCAGACUGGUGACACAGGGUGGUCUUAAAAGAGUCCUAGUCCAGCCUCUGGCUCCCCGAAUUUCCUCUGGUGCAUGGGGCAUCAGGAAAGGGCAGGGGAGAAGGAGGGGGAGCAGAAAAAUAACUGAGGCUGGGCAGAAGGGUCCCUUCCAUUUCCCAUCCAUUGCUUCAAACAAUGGGUGAUUACCGUGCACCUUGAGUGAAUGUCAAGGCAGGAAGGGUUCCAGGGCCACCCAGUGUGGCAGGAGCAGAGCUGGGAUCAGAAUUCUGGAUUCCUGACUCUCCGUUCAGCUGCUAUUCAGCUAUCACCAAGCUGCUGAGUUUGUCCUACUUUCUCCUGGGUCACAUUCUGCUGUUGUUGGGAAACAGGGAGUGAGUGAAGGGAACCUGGGAACCCUUCUCCCCUCACCUUUUAAGGAUGUUCUGGGGUGGAAUAAAGAGAGGUGGAGGGUGGGGUGCCUGGGCCCAGCCUCCCUGGCUCCUGGUCCUUCUUUCUUCAGCAGGGAGUUCUGGCAAGGCCUGGGCCUGGGGAGGGGGCCUGGGUGCAGUUUUCUCCUGCGGUGUGGUUGGCUCUUUUGUCUUCCAGGAUGGGCCUGUGGGGUCUGUGUGGGGAAGGAAGGAGCUGGGAGCCUGGGCUGCCUGUGUGUCGGCUGGAUGCUGCCAGCACCGGCAUGGACCAAGCAACUUCUCUGAGCCAGAUGCUGGGGACGCAGAGGUGAACCCAGAGACAUGAUCCCAUCUGCUCAGAUCUUCAUGUCAGAACACGCUUUAUUACAGUCUCGGCAAGGGGGUGGCUCCAUCUGGGCCGCAUCUCCAGGACUCCUGGCCUGGAC
rnacentral:lncRNA from 10 species